rnacentral:lncRNA from 1 species
UCGCCGUGUCCGAGCGCGUGGGGGCGCCCGGGCUUUCCAGGAGGGCCAUUGCUCCCGGCGCGGAGCGGGGGUCCUUAGCCGGGGCCCCCAGCUCGCUGCUCCCGCAGGAACAUGGACCUCAGGGUGUCUGGCGCCUGGCAUGCGGGAGUGUGCGGGGAUGAGCGACUGGGCAGUCGAUCCUGGUCCUGCCACUGCAGCCGUGCCCAUUUCCACGUCCCUAAGGUUAGCGGAGCCUGGGGACCGGAGAGAGAGCUGCUGCUUCCUGGAACCGGCUUCCGCGGGAUGGCUGCGGUGGAGACGCCCCGCCCCCUUGCUCAGGUUUCAGGGCUGGCUGAGCUGCAGCCGGGCGGCCUCCUCCUGGUCACGGGACGACGAUGGCCAGGUUGCCGGCAGGCAAGCAGGGCAGGGCGCUGGCCCAAGCAGCAGGAAGCCAGGCGGGAAGGCUGCUUGGCACAAUCUCCCUUGCGUCUCCGUGGCCAUAAGAGGGACGUGUGUCCAUCCUCGCAUGGGAGCUGUGGGUGCCCGUCUCCGAGAUCAGAGGAGUCCCCCCGGUAACUGUUGGUGGGGGCAGAGGGGGCACUGCUGGUCCUCCAGAGAUUCAGGUAUCCGAGGAGCCCCUGAUAGUGACUGUCAGUGGCAGGGGAGGGGGACACCGUCGGUCCUCCCUCCCAAGACCACCUUCAGUUCAUCUGAGUCAGGUGUCCAGGGAAACCCCACAAGCGGUCAGAGUCCCCUCCCAUGGGUUCCUGUGACAUCCACCCGCCCCGCCCCUGCACUUGGGUGCAGGGCUGGGCUGUCACUCCCACACCUCCACCCCAAUCCUAGCCAGUGGGGAACGGGCUUAGUGGCUACCCCCGGGUCACAUGUGAAAUGCAGCAAGGACAGGAUCACCCCGAGAGUCGUGGUGGCGGUCAGUAGAAGAAGGCAAAGCAAUGGACUCUGA